AAAGCGUCGGUAAGGUGAUAUGAACCGUUAUAACCGGCGAUGUCCGAAUGGGGAAACCCAGUGCAAUUCGUUGCACUAUCGUUAACUGAAUACAUAGGUUAACGAGGCGAACCGGGGGAACUGAAACAUCUAAGUACCCCGAGGAAAAGAAAUCAACCGAGAUUCCCCCAGUAGCGGCGAGCGAACGGGGAGCAGCCCAGAGUCUGAAUCAGCUUGUGUGUUAGUGGAACGGUCUGGAAAGUCCGACGGUACAGGGUGAUAGUCCCGUACACCAAAAUGCACAGGCUGUGAACUCGAAGAGUAGGGCGGGACACGUGGUAUCCUGUCUGAAUAUGGGGGGACCAUCCUCCAAGGCUAAAUACUCCUGACUGACCGAUAGUGAACCAGUACCGUGAGGGAAAGGCGAAAAGAACCCCGGCGAGGGGAGUGAAAAAGAACCUGAAACCGUGUACGUACAAGCAGUGGGAGCACNACCUGGUCUUGACAUCCACAGAACUUAGCAGAGAUGCUUUGGUGCCUUCGGGAACUGUGAGACAGGUGCUGCAUGGCUGUCGUCAGCUCGUGUUGUGAAAUGUUGGGUUAAGUCCCGCAACGAGCGCAACCCUUAUCCUUUGUUGCCAGCGGUUAGGCCGGGAACUCAAAGGAGACUGCCAGUGAUAAACUGGAGGAAGGUGGGGAUGACGUCAAGUCAUCAUGGCCCUUACGACCAGGGCUACACACGUGCUACAAUGGCAUAUACAAAGAGAAGCGACCUCGCGAGAGCAAGCGGACCUCAUAAAGUAUGUCGUAGUCCGGAUUGGAGUCUGCAACUCGACUCCAUGAAGUCGGAAUCGCUAGUAAUCGUAGAUCAGAAUGCUACGGUGAAUACGUUCCCGGGCCUUGUACACACCGCCCGUCACACCAUGGGAGUGGGUUGCAAAAGAAGUAGGUAGCUUAACCUUCGGGAGGGCGCUUACCACUUUGUGAUUCAUGACUGGGGUGAAGUCGUAACAAGGUAACCGUAGGGGAACCUGCGGUUG
rnacentral:rRNA from 1 species